UUGGGGAAUAUUGGACAAUGGGCGAAAGCCUGAUCCAGCAAUGCCGCGUGAGUGAUGAAGGCCUUAGGGUUGUAAAGCUCUUUUACCAGGGAUGAUAAUGACAGUACCUGGAGAAUAAGCUCCGGCUAACUCCGUGCCAGCAGCCGCGGUAAUACGGAGGGAGCUAGCGUUGUUCGGAAUUACUGGGCGUAAAGCGCGCGUAGGCGGUUUCUCAAGUCAGAGGUGAAAGCCCGGGGCUCAACCCCGGAACUGCCUUUGAAACUAGGAGACUAGAAUCUUGGAGAGGUCAGUGGAAUUCCGAGUGUAGAGGUGAAAUUCGUAGAUAUUCGGAAGAACACCAGUGGCGAAGGCGACUGACUGGACAAGUAUUGACGCUGAGGUGCGAAAGCGUGGGGAGCAAACA
rnacentral:rRNA from 1 species